UAAGAGGCAUGCCCAAGAGUUGAACUUGGCUGCCACACACAGUGAUUCAGCAAUUUACCAGUAGAAAAUACGACAGGGAGAGGAAGGAGAAUUUCUCAUCUGGGUUUGGAAGCAGAAGAGGAGGCAACAGAACACUAAAGGAAUGUUCCUCAAGCCAUGUUGCAGGAGGUAACACAUAUACAGCAUUGCUUCCUGAAAUUCAGACUCUGCCUCUCCAGACAACACCCAUUUUAUUAAAAUGAAAUAUCAACUCUUCCUAAAGUUGUCAGGUUAAAAAAGCAAAUCUUAAUGUGAACUCUAUCAAUCUUUCUAUGAAAUGAUUCAAUGUGGGUGUGAAAUGGCUCCAUGGAGAAAUGAAAGCUGAAACUCUUGAAACUUACCUGCUACCCUUCUGGCCCAGAGCCAGUUCAUCACUAAAUCUACACUGUGUUGUGUUUCUCUGUACUCCAGCCAGCCUUCUAUUUCAGACUUUGACACAAAUGACAGAGUGCUGAUAGUGAAGCCACAAAAUGUUAAGAUGAGGUCACUUGGAAAGGGGCGGAGGAAGAAAGUACAGGAUUUCUUGGUUAAGUAAGCAGAGACUCAAUUGCUGAAGAACCAAUAGGAAGAUUCCUUGCAGCCACUAUAUGACAAGCCACCGUCUUCACAAUCGCUAAAAUGACUUCUAGUCAUUUUAGAAGGACCACUUUUUGUCUUCUGGUAGAUAGGCAGUUGGGGAAUCUGCUUUACUGUUCACUCACUUAUUUCUUUAUCCAUCUGUCCCCAUACUAAUUAAUUCAAACAGACAUUUAAGAGCAAUUUUCACAGAGAACUCUACCCAGUGUUCUGUGAUAAUCUACAUGCAAAAAGAA